rnacentral:sRNA from 1 species
UAUCCGGAACACGCCUAGAUGGCGCUGGUA